CCUACGGGUGGCAGCAGUGGGGAGUAUUGCACAAUGGGCGCAAGCCUGAUGCAGCCAUGCCGCGUGUGUGAAGAAGGCCUUCGGGUUGUAAAGCACUUUCAGCGGGGAGGAAGACGGUGAGGUUAAUAACCUCAUCGAUUGACGUUACCCGCAGAAGAAGCACCGGCUAACUCCGUGCCAGCAGCCGCGGUAAUACGGAGGGUGCAAGCGUUAAUCGGAAUUACUGGGCGUAAAGCGCACGCAGGCGGUCUGUCAAGUCGGAUGUGAAAUCCCCGGGCUCAACCUGGGAACUGCAUUCGAAACUGGCAGGCUAGAGUCUUGUAGAGGGGGGUAGAAUUCCAGGUGUAGCGGUGAAAUGCGUAGAGAUCUGGAGGAAUACCGGUGGCGAAGGCGGCCCCCUGGACAAAGACUGACGCUCAGGUGCGAAAGCGUGGGGAGCAAACAGGAUUAGAUACCCUUGUAGUC
rnacentral:rRNA from 1 species